UGGGCCAGCGUGUGGCGUUUGCAAGUUCUCCCUGUGUCUACGUGGGUUUUCUCGGGUCCUCUGGCUUCCUCCCACAUCCCAAAGGAGGGCACAGGAGGCCAAUGCCGGGAGCGAGUGUGCCCUGCGACGGAAGGCCAGCUCGUCCACGUGGGUUUCUGCCUGUGGAUUCCCGCCCAGCGCCCCGAGCUGCCGGAAGAGGCUUCCGUGACCUGGAAGUAGAAUCAAGGCGUUGGAAAAUAAGCAUGUUGUUCUGAUCUCUUCUUAAAUGGUAUCCCUCUUCCCAGUGAGUGUUCUGUGAAAACGUUAAGGUGGCAAUCUCCGGUGAUUUUCUGCCCUCCCACGACACCUGGUGCAGCGUCAUGUUGGUGGGGAGAACCAGACAAGAGGAAAUCCUGGAUGGAUCCUGGCGAGCGAUAGGCAGAAAAUAAGAGUUGAUUACUUGCAGUUGGUGACAGUGUCUUGCUGCUGCUGAAGAAUCCAGCCCAAGUCGCUGGCCCCAUAAUCCAUUGCUCAACUUCAUUAACCACAGGAAGACAUUAAGUGAAUGUAAGGACCGGAACAGCUUGGAAACCACGUGACGAGCAACCUUUAAGUUCUGGGCUCUGGUAUAUUUUAUGUCACCUCAACUGUGCAUCAAGCUUGCCUUCCUGGACUCAUUAGAACUGUGUGCCCAAAGGUGCCCCUCAACUUUCAGAAGCAAAUAGAGAAUGAUAUAAUUCGCUCUGAGAACACCUUUCUGUCUUAUUCGGAGCAUGUCUUAUCUAUUAUGAUUAGGCAUUAAGCAUCCUAUUGUCCUGAAAAUUUCAUGAGAUUCUACCCCUGCUUGCUAGGAUUAUGUCAAAGUGACUUGUCCCAGAUGCUGUU